GAUGAACGCUGGCGGCGUGCCUAAUACAUGCAAGUCGAGCGAACGGACGAGAAGCUUGCUUCUCUGAUGUUAGCGGCGGACGGGUGAGUAACACGUGGAUAACCUACCUAUAAGACUGGGAUAACUUCGGGAAACCGUAGCUAAUACCGGAUAAUAUUUUGAACCGCAUGGUUCAAAAGUGAAAGACGGUCUUGCUGUCACUUAUAGAUGGAUCCGCGCUGCAUUAGCUAGUUGGUAAGGUAACGGCUUACCAAGGCAACGAUGCAUAGCCGACCUGAGAGGGUGAUCGGCCACACUGGAACUGAGACACGGUCCAGACUCCUACGGGAGGCAGCAGUAGGGAAUCUUCCGCAAUGGGCGAAAGCCUGACGGAGCAACGCCGCGUGAGUGAUGAAGGUCUUCGGAUCGUAAAACUCUGUUAUUAGGGAAGAACAUAUGUGUAAGUAACUGUGCACAUCUUGACGGUACCGAAUCAGAAAGCACGGCUAACUACGUG
rnacentral:rRNA from 1 species